UACAGAGGUCUCAAGCGUUGUUCGGAUUCAUUGGGCGUAAAGGGUGCGUAGGCGGCUCGGUAAGUCGGGUGUGAAAUCUCGGAGCUUAACUCCGAAACUGCAUUCGAUACUGCCGUGCUUGAGGACUGGAGAGGAGACUGGAAUUUACGAUGUAGCGGUGAAAUGCGUAGAUAUCGUAAGGAAGACCAGUGGCGAAGGCGGGUCUCUGGACAGUUCCUGACGCUGAGGCACGAAGGCCAGGGGAGCAAACGGG
rnacentral:rRNA from 1 species